GACGAAUGCUGGCGGCGUGCCUAAUACAUGCAAGUUGAGCGGUGAAGAUUGGUGCUUGCACCAAUUUGAAGAGCAGCGAACGGGUGAGUAACGCGUGGGGAAUCUGCCUUUGAGCGGGGGACAACAUUUGGAAACGAAUGCUAAUACCGCAUAACAACUUUAAACAUAAGUUUUAAGUUUGAAAGAUGCAAUUGCAUCACUCAAAGAUGAUCCCGCGUUGUAUUAGCUAGUUGGUGAGGUAAAGGCUCACCAAGGCGAUGAUACAUAGCCGACCUGAGAGGGUGAUCGGCCACAUUGGGACUGAGACACGGCCCAAACUACUACGGGAGGCAGCAGUAGGGAAUCUUCGGCAAUGGACGAAAGUCUGACCGAGCAACGCCGCGUGAGUGAAGAAGGUUUUCGGAUCGUAAAACUCUGUUGGUAGAGAAGAACGUUGGUGAGAGUGGAAAGCUCAUCAAGUGACGGUAACUACCCAGAAAGGGACGGCUAACUACGUGCCAGCAGCCGCCGUAA
rnacentral:rRNA from 1 species